CUCAGAAUCAACGCUGGCGGCGCGCUUAACACAUGCAAGUCGCACGGGAAAGCAGGGGCAACCUUGUGAGUACAGUGGCGUACGGGUGAGUAACACGUGGGUAAUCUACCUCCGAGUGGGGAAUAACCCUGGGAAACCGGGGCUAAUACCGCAUAAGCCUGGGAAGGGAAAGCAGCAAUGCGCUGGGAGAGGAGCCCGCGGCCGAUUAGUUAGUUGGCAGGGUAAAGGCCUACCAAGACCGAGAUCGGUAGCCGGCCUGAGAGGGCACACGGCCACACUGGCACUGAAACACGGGCCAGACUCCUACGGGAGGCAGCAGUGGGGAAUCUUGCACAAUGGGGGAAACCCUGAUGCAGCGACGCCGCGUGAGCGAUGAAGCCCUUCGGGGUGUAAAGCUCUUUCGGCAGGGAAGAUGGUGACGGUACCUGCAGAAGCAGCUGCGGCUAACUACGUGCCAGCAGCCGCGGUAAUACGUAGGCAGCGAGCGUUGUUCGGAGUUACUGGGCGUAAAGGGUGUGUAGGCGGUUCUCUAAGUUUGGUGUGAAAUCUCCCGGCUCAACUGGGAGGGUGCGCCGAAAACUGGAAAGCUUGGAGUGCGGGAUGGGAGAGCGGAAUUCCUGGUGUAGCGGUGAAAUGCGUAGAUAUCAGGAGGAACACCGGCGGUGUAGACGGCUCUCUGGACCGUAACUGACGCUGAGACACGAAAGCGUGGGGAGCAAACAGGAUUAGAUACCCUGGUAGUCCACGCCCUAAACGAUGCACGUUUGGUGUGGGUGAUUCAGUUCAUCCGUGCCGGAGCUAACGCGUUAAACGUGCCGCCUGGGGAGUACAGUCG
rnacentral:rRNA from 1 species